rnacentral:rRNA from 1 species
UUCUUAGUUGGUGGAGUGAUCUGUCUGGUUAAUUUCGAUAACGAACGAGACCUUAGCCUGCUAAAUAGGAUCGGGAACCUCGGUUCUCGCAUCACUUCUUAGAGGGACUUUGCGUGUCUAACGCAAGGAAGUUGAGGCAAUAACAGGUCUGUGAUGCCCUUAGAUGUUCUGGGCUGCACGCGCGCUACACUGAUGCAUGCAACGAGUUUUUGACCUUGGCCGGAAGGUCUAGGUAAUCUUUUGAGUAUGCAUCGUGAUGGGGAUAGAUUAUUGCAAUUAUUAAUCUUCAACGAGGAAUGCCUAGUAGGCGCAAGUCAGCAGCUUGUGCCGAUUACGUCCCUGCCCUUUGUACACACCGCCCGUCGCUGCAACCGAUCGAAGGGUCCUGUGAACUCGAUGGACAGCCCAUCCCCUUCUUGGGGUUGGGCUGGAAGUUGCGUAAAUAGAGCCCUUUAAAGGAUGCAAAAGUCGUAACACGGUUUCCGUAGGUGAACCUGCGGAAGGAUCAUUC